rnacentral:rRNA from 1 species
CGGCAACAGCUCAAAUUUGAAAUCUGGCGCAAGCCCGAGUUGUAAUUUGCAGAGGAUGCUUUGGGGUCGUCCCUGGUCUAAGUUCCUUGGAACAGGACGUCGCAGAGGGUGAGAAUCCCGUACGCGGCCGGGCGCCGUCCCCGUGU